UACAGAGGGUGCGAGCGUUGUUCGGAAUUAUUGGGCGUAAAGGGCGCGUAGGCGGUGCGGUAAGUCACCUGUGAAAUCUCCUGGCUCAACUGGGAGCUUGCAGGCGAAACUGCCGUGCUGGAGUGUGGGGAGAGGUGAGUGGAAUUCCCGGUGUAGCGGUGAAAUGCGUAGAUAUUGGGAAGGAACACCAGUGGGCGAAGGCG
rnacentral:rRNA from 1 species